CAGAAUCCCGCCUAGACGUAACGAUACCGUAGCGCCGUGGAUCUUCGGUUGGUCUCGGAUAGCCGGCAAUUGUGCCGGUGAAGGAGAGCCGUUCGUGACGGGGCUGGGGCGCGGCCGGACAAUGGCCACCCCUCUCCCAUCUCGCAAUACAUGUUUGUGGAGAACCUGGUGCUAAACUACUUGCAGACGACCUGAUUCUGGGUCAGGGUUUCGUACGUAGCAGAGCAGCUACCUCGCUGCGAUCU
rnacentral:rRNA from 1 species